rnacentral:sRNA from 1 species
UUAGGAGGCCUAGAGGAAGAAAUCCAAUGUAUAUUCGCAGGCCAGAGACUUCAUGGACAGUGAUGGUGCAAGAUUCCCCUACACUACCUUGCUAACGUGCCACCCUAAAUGCUGCCCGGAAGGGACCACUUCUAGAUGUGAGAGGGCAGUUCAGUCCCCAUGUCCAUUCAGUCCCUUGCUUCU